rnacentral:rRNA from 1 species
GAUCAUGGCUCAGAUUGAACGCUGGCGGCAGGCCUAACACAUGCAAGUCGAGCGGCAUCGGGAAGGUAGCUUGCUAUCUUUGCCGGCGAGCGGCGGACGGGUGAGUAAAGUCUGGGGAUCUGCCUGAUGGAGGGGGAUAACUACUGGAAACGGUAGCUAAUACCGCAUGAUGUUACGCGACCAAAGCGGGGGACCUCCGGGCCUCGCGCCAUCAGAUGAACCCAGAUGGGAUUAGCUAGUAGGAGAGGUAAUGGCUCCCCUAGGCGACGAUCCCUAGCUGGUCUGAGAGGAUAACCAGCCACACUGGAACUGAGAGACGGUCCAGACUCCUACGGGAGGCAGCAGUGGGGAAUAUUGCACAAUGGGCGCAAGCCUGAUGCAGCCAUGCCGCG